rnacentral:lncRNA from 1 species
GGCACAACAAAACGAUGGGUGUUUUUACAUCGAACUUUGUAAAAACCCUAUACGAUUCGACCCAGUUGAUAAAGUCACAAACGUAUUCUAUGACGACGCUAAUAGACAGGUGAAUGUACAACUAGAAUGUUGUCUUUGAAGUCCUCACACUCUGUUUUGUCAUAGCUUAGAAAAUGACUAUCUUUGAUAACUUCAUUUCAACAUUUGUCUGCAAGGCCAUAUAUGUCUAGAAAUGUGUACACAUGUGUAUAUAUGUGUCUGGUACCUUGAUUCAGUGUUGUU